UACGAAGGGGGCUAGCGUUGCUCGGAAUCACUGGGCGUAAAGGGUGCGUAGGCGGGUUUUUAAGUUAGAGGUGAAAGCCUGGAGCUCAACUCCAGAACUGCCUUUAAUACUGGAAAUCUUGAGUUCGGAAGAGGUAAGUGGAACUGCGAGUGUAGAGGUGAAAUUCGUAGAUAUUCGCAAGAACACCAGUGGCGAAGGCGGCUUACUGGUCCGAUACUGACGCUGAGGCACGAAAGCGUGGGGAGCAAACAGG
rnacentral:rRNA from 1 species